rnacentral:rRNA from 1 species
UAGGGAAUCUUCGGCAAUGGGGGGAACCCUGACCGAGCAACGCCGCGUGAGUGAAGAAGGUUUUCGGAUCGUAAAGCUCUGUUGUUAAGGAAGAACGAGUGUGAGAAUGGAAAGUUCAUGCUGUGACGGUACUUAACCAGAAAGGGACGGCUAACUACGUGCCAGCAGCCGCGGUAAUACGUAGGUCCCGAGCGUUGUCCGGAUUUAUUGGGCGUAAAGCGAGCGCAGGCGGUUAGAAAAGUCUGAAGUGAAAGGCAGUGGCUCAACCAUUGUAGGCUUUGGAAACUGUUUAGCUUGAGUGCAGAAGGGGAGAGUGGAAUUCCAUGUGUAGCGGUGAAAUGCGUAUAUAUAUGGAGGAACACCGGUGGCGAAAGCGGCUCUCUGGUCUGUAACUGACGCUGAGGCUCGAAAGCGUGGGGAGCGAACAGG